UUCGUAGGCGGUGCGGCAAGUUGGGAGUGAAAUCUCUGGGCUUAACCCAGAGGCUGCUUCCAAAACUGCUGUGCUUGAGUGUGAGAGAGGCUCGUGGAAUUGCAGGUGUAGCGGUGAAAUGCGUAGAUAUCUGCAGGAACACCCGUGGCGAAAGCGGCGAGCUGGAUCACUACUGACGCUGAGGAACGAAAGCUAGGGGAGCAAACAGGAUUAGAUACCCUGGUAGUCCUAGCCCUAAACGAUCAGGACUUGGGGUGCCGCCCGUUCGGGCGUCGUCCCGGAGCUAACGCGUUAAGUCCUGCACCUGGGAGUACGGUCGCAAGACUGAA
rnacentral:rRNA from 1 species